rnacentral:rRNA from 1 species
AUGCAAGUCGAACGGUGAUGGCCAGCUUGCUGGUCUGAUCAGUGGCGAACGGGUGAGUAACACGUGAGUAACCUGCCCCAGACUCUGGGAUAAGCCUUGGAAACGAGGUCUAAUACUGGAUAUGAGAUGCCCCUGCAUGGGGAGUGUCUGGAAAGAUUUAUCGGUCUGGGAUGGACUCGCGGCCUAUCAGCUUGUUGGUGGGGUAAUGGCCUACCAAGGCGACGACGGGUAGCCGGCCUGAGAGGGCGACCGGCCACACUGGGACUGAGACACGGCCCAGACUCCUACGGGAGGCAGCAGUGGGGAAUAUUGCACAAUGGGCGCAAGCCUGAUGCAGCGACGCCGCGUGAGGGAUGAAGGCCUUCGGGUUGUAAACCUCUUUCAGCAGGGAAGAAGCGCAAGUGACGGUACCUGCAGAAGAAGCGCCGGCUAACUACGUGCCAGCAGCCGCGGUAAUACGUAGGGCGCAAGCGUUGUCCGGAAUUAUUGGGCGUAAAGAGCUCGUAGGCGGUUUGUCGCGUCUGGUGUGAAAACUCAAGGCUCAACCUUGAGCUUGCAUCGGGUACGGGCAGACUAGAGUGCGGUAGGGGUGACUGGAAUUCCUGGUGUAGCGGUGGAAUGCGCAGAUAUCAGGAGGAACACCGAUGGCGAAGGCAGGUCACUGGGCCGCAACUGACGCUGAGGAGCGAAAGCAUGGGGAGCGAACAGGAUUAGAUACCCUGGUAGUCCAUGCCGUAAACGUUGGGCACUAGGUGUGGGGCUCAUUCCACGAGUUCCGUGCCGCAGCAAACGCAUUAAGUGCCCCGCCUGGGGAGUACGGCCGCAAGGCUAAAACUCAAAGGAAUUGACGGGGGCCCGCACAAGCGGCGGAGCAUGCGGAUUAAUUCGAUGCAACGCGAAGAACCUUACCAAGGCUUGACAUACACCGGAAACUUCCAGAGAUGGUUGCCCCGCAAGGUCGGUGUACAGGUGGUGCAUGGUUGUCGUCAGCUC